rnacentral:rRNA from 1 species
GAGUACGGCCGCAAGGUUAAAACUCAAAUGAAUUGACGGGGGCCCGCACAAGCGGUGGAGCAUGUGGUUUAAUUCGAUGCAACGCGAAGAACCUUACCUGGUCUUGACAUCCACAGAAGAAUCCAGAGAUGGAUUUGUGCCUUCGGGAACUGUGAGACAGGUGCUGCAUGGCUGUCGUCAGCUCGUGUUGUGAAAUGUUGGGUUAAGUCCCGCAACGAGCGCAACCCUUAUCCUUUGUUGCCAGCGAUUAGG